UCCCUCUUAGCUCAGCUGGUAGAGCGCGUCACUAGUAUAAUGAGACGAUAAAGUGUUCACUAAUGACGAGGUCAGUCGUUCAAGUCGGCUAGAGGGAA